rnacentral:tRNA from 1 species
CAAUAAAGGUAACGUUUUCAAAUUUGCAAUCUGACGUGUCACUCACUACGGGGCU